GGAGAGUUGUCCGAGAGGCUGAAGGAGCACGAUUGGAAAUCGUGUAGGCGGGAGACCGUCUCAAGGGUUCGAAUCCCUUACUCUCCG
rfam:Globicatella sp. HMSC072A10 Globicatella_spHMPREF2811-1.0_Cont1134.1, whole genome shotgun sequence.